rnacentral:rRNA from 1 species
AGCGAACGCUGGCGGCAGGCCUAACACAUGCAAGUCGAACGAACCUUUCGGGGUUAGUGGCGGACGGGUGAGUAACACGUGGGAACGUGCCUUUAGGUUCGGAAUAACUCAGGGAAACUUGUGCUAAUACCGAAUGUGCCCUUCGGGGGAAAGAUUAAUCGCCUUUAGAGCGGCCCGCGUCUGAUUAGCUAGUUGGUUGAGGUAAUGGCUCACCAAGGCGACGAUCAGUAGCUGGUCUGAGAGGAUGAUCAGCCACAUUGGGACUGAGACACGGCCCAAACUCCUACGGGAGGCAGCAGUGGGGAAUCUUGCGCAAUGGGCGAAAGGCUGACGCAGCCAUGCCGCGUGAAUGAUGAAGGUCUUAGGAUUGUAAAAUUCUUUCACCGGGGACGAUAAUGACGGUACCCGGAGAAGAAGCCCCGGCUAACUUCGUG